AUUGAACGCUGGCGGCAUGCUUUACACAUGCAAGUCGAACGGUAACAGGCCGCAAGGUGCUGACGAGUGGCGAACGGGUGAGUAAUGCAUCGGAACGUGCCCAGUCGUGGGGGAUAACUGCUCGAAAGAGCAGCUAAUACCGCAUACGAUCUAUGGAUGAAAGCGGGGGACCGUAAGGCCUCGCGCGAUUGGAGCGGCCGAUGUCAGAUUCGGUAGUUGGUGGGGUAAAGGCUCACCAAGCCAACGAUCUGUAGCUGGUCUGAGAGGACGACCAGCCACACUGGGACUGAGACACGGCUCAGACUCCGACGGGAGGCAGCAGUGGGGAAUUUUGGACAAUGGGGGCAACCCUGAUCCAGCAAUGCCGCGUGCAGGAAGAAGGCCUUCGGGUUGUAAACUGCUCUUGUACGGAACGAAACGGUCUGGGUUAAUACCCUGGGCUAAUGACGGUACCGUAAGAAUAAGCACCGGCUAACUACGUGCCAGCAGCCGCCAUAACAC
rnacentral:rRNA from 1 species